UACGUAGGGGGCAAGCGUUGUCCGGAUUUAUUGGGCGUAAAGGGCUCGUAGGCGGUUUGUCACGUCGGGAGUGAAAACUCGGGGCUCAACCCCGAGCCUGCUUCCGAUACGGGCAGACUAGAGGUAUGCAGGGGAGAAUGGAAUUCCUGGUGUAGCGGUGAAAUGCGCAGAUAUCAGGAGGAACACCGGUGGCGAAGGCGGUUCUCUGGGCAUUACCUGACGCUGAGGAGCGAAAGUGUGGGGAGCGAACAGG
rnacentral:rRNA from 1 species